UUUUUCGUAGGGUGUUGUAAGACUUGAAUUUAGAGGCUGCAGCUCUUUUUCCAAGUUUUGUGCUCCGCGAGCGGUGUAAAUCCAAGGUGUCUCUUUCGACAUACCAGCGGAAACCGUGUGCAGAGCGCCGUUUUGUCGCGGAGCAGAGGAUGUUCGUGCGUAGUAGUAGACCUCGAGACGCGUCGGCACAAAACAAAACCCGAGAACUCGGGGUGAAGAGGGGACUUGUAGUUUCGGCGCAAGCAAAUUCUGUCGCGGAGCCUGUAUCAAGUGUGUGGGGUUUCGGCCAUGGAAGUAGCUGACAGAAAAAGGCGGCGGUACACAUCCAGGAAUCGUUUGUGCUGAACCGGCAACCCACAAUGCUGGGAGACAGCGAUGGUCGCAACAACUCUCACAGCACACGUAAGCCCGUUCGUCUUCUGCCAAAGUGGAGCUUUCGCAAAGCGCAAAAGCAGUAGACUCUAAACAGUAAUAGAAGCCUCAAAUGGAGCAAGUCUCGUUGCAAAGCCAAAGAGUAAGGUGAGCUUGUCACGGUGGCAUUGAGCUUGUUACGGUGGCAUUGAGCUUGUCACGGUGGCAUCUAAGGAGCGACGAUGGGGAGGAUGUUGGAAGUGGUGAGUUCCAGGUGGCGUUGUGAAGCGGUUCGCUGAUUGGACGUCGCUUCAACUGGAUGUGCUUCUUUGGUGCCCGUACGCGUAUUCUGUUACGGUUCUACGGGGUGUCUGUAGCAGCCGUCACAACAUUAUCACGGAUCAAGAUUUCCACGGCCUUCCGCCUCGCGCCACACUGUUCAUGCAGUGGCUGUGGCCAGCUGAGAGAGGACUCUACAGCAUGUUCGUGAACUGCGAAGUGCUGCCACGAUUGGUGUUACCUGCCUCAUCAGCCAAUCACGGAAACCCUACAGGC
rnacentral:lncRNA from 1 species